GAGAAAUUUAGACUUCAUCCUGAAGGGUGAUGGGUGCGACUCUUGAGUUCCAUUUCCACUAGAAAGUGAGGAUCUCAUCAUUGUCUUCGAUCUUGAUUUAUUUUACUUCUCAAAAAUGUGUAUUUAUUUUGAGGGGGGGAGGGGCAGAGAGAGAGAGAGGGAGAGAGAGAGAAUCCCAAGCAGGCCCCUAGCUGUCAGUGCAAGAGUUGGACGCCUAACCGACUGAGACUCCCAGGUGCCACCAUAGUCUUUGGCCUUUAAAACAGGCCCCAAAUGGUACAUGUUGGGCUGACAUUUUUUGGCCUAUGUUUACACUGAUCAAACUAACCAAGGAACUACUAAGUCAUAAUUUUACUGUUUACUUUGUACGCACUGUUAUUGUUAAAUUCACUUUGAUUUUAUUUAUCCUACAAAUAGAUUGAUUCAAUGUAAAAUAAACGUGAAUGUUUUGUGCCAAGAAAAGUUUGCAUGCAGUUAACCUAUUAUGUAAACUUUUUUCUUUUUUCUUAAUGUUUAUUUUUGAGAGAGAGAGAGAGAGAGAGAGAGAGAGAGAGAGAGAACGAACAGGGGAGAGGCAGACAAAGGGAGACAGAGGAUCCAAAGUGGACUCCACGCUAACAGCCGACAGCCUGAGGCCGGACUCCAACUCAUGAACUCAGAGAUCAUGACCUGGGCCAAAGCUGGAUGCUUAUCAGACUGAGCCACCCAGGCUGGACUCUUACUCCAACACGACUGGUAUCCUUACAAGAAGAGACACAUACACAGAGAACACUAUGUGAGGGCACAGAGAUGCAGAAAAGAUGGCCAUUGGAGUCAUGUACCUACAGCCAAGGUCCCCAAGGAUCAUGGACAACCACUGGAAGCUGAGAGGCAGGGAACCAUCAAAUUCUUCCCUAAAGCCUACCGCAAGGAGCCAGCCCCGCCAACACCUUGACUUUGGUCUUCGAGCUACCAGGGCUUUGCCUGCCUGCCCUUUUUGUGUUUAUCUUGUUAAGUACUGACAGGCUUAAAAUAUAGACCCCUAGAGGGCAAGAUUGAUAUCUAUAUGGAGUGUGCUGCAGAACAUACACUCAUGCCUCAUACUCUUCUGCACAAAUUAUUUUUGACGACACCCUGUGCCUUUCUGACUUUAUAAUUUUGAGUAACUUCAGCUACGUGACUCCUGGGUUUUUUUUGCCACUGCGGUCUCAGAGCUCCAAAAUUUGGAUCGGAGACAUGGAAACACCUUUGGAAAACCUUUAUGUGAAACAGGAAGCACAAUUCAAAGUUUAUGCUCUGGCUAUUGGGAGAAAUGGAAGCGAACGAGAGCUGGGAAGCCAGAACACGCAGCGUUAGGCUUCCACCGUGUCGGGAGGACGGAAGGGAACCCUAAUGGGAAAGUGCCUAGUGUGUCCGGCCUAGAGGCGAUGCUCCCGAAGUGAUCGCUCGUCCCGAGCCGUCUGCCAAGGCUUCACAGGUCCUGAAUUCUCCCCCAGUUCACGUGUGCUGAUCGACAGUGAAUGGAAAGGAGAGCACUGAGGAGUUGCCGCCCCAUCCGAAGAAAAAGUCCCGAAGCCCGCAUUUGCCACUCUGCUUUCCGAGAAAGCGCUCGUCUCCCAUUGCUAAUUCUAGCCCCGUUUCCCCUUGACCCUGUAAACGCAUCGGGAGCUGGCCCAGAAACCCUCCGAUUUGCGCGCAUCGCAACACGCUGCACGUUACAAUCAAGUUGUUGGGUUUUUACUGGUGUGUUGUGGUGCCUUUUUGCGCGUCUUGUGCCUCAAAAUGUCAGCGUUCUUUUUGUCUGACAGCUCGGUAAGCCCUUUCUGGCCCAUUUCUUACAUGACGUUAUAAUAACGAAACUCUCCCUGGAAUUGGAUCACAGCGAAGUUGCACUGCCUCCCCGGCCCGCGGGAGCCGGGGCAGCGCCGGCGGGCUCCGUCCCUCCGGCCGCGGGGCGGGUGGGCGGCGGGGCGGCGCGCCGGGGGGGCCGUGCGGGCUUAGCGGCCGCCGGCUCGCGGCCGGGCUCGGGCGCAGUCGGAGCGCCGCCUCGGGCCGCGCAUUCCCUGGACCCCGAUCCCGGAUCGCCGCCUCCGCAGCUUGGCGCUCUCCCCGAGCCGGAGCCGGAGCCGGAGCCGGAGUCGCGGCGCAGCCCCGGCCGCCGCGUCAGAGGAGGCG